rnacentral:rRNA from 1 species
CUUUACUAUAGCUUGACACUGAACAUUGAGCCUUGAUGUGUAGGAUAGGUGGGAGGCUUUGAAGUGUGGACGCCAGUCUGCAUGGAGCCGACCUUGAAAUACCACCCUUUAAUGUUUGAUGUUCUAACGUUGACCCGUAAUCCGGGUUGCGGACAGUGUCUGGUGGGUAGUUUGACUGGGGCGGUCUCCUCCUAAAGAGUAACGGAGGAGCACGAAGGUUGGCUAAUCCUGGUCGGACAUCAGGAGGUUAGUGCAAUGGCAUAAGCCAGCUUGACUGCGAGCGUGACGGCGCGAGCAGGUGCGAAAGCAGGUCAUAGUGAUCCGGUGGUUCUGAAUGGAAGGGCCAUCGCUCAACGGAUAAAAGGUACUCCGGGGAUAACAGGCUGAUACCGCCCAAGAGUUCAUAUCGACGGCGGUGUUUGGCACCUCGAUGUCGGCUCAU